rnacentral:lncRNA from 1 species
ACAUGGAGAAACCCCAUCUCUACUAAAAAUACAAAAUUAGCUGGGCAUGGUGGUACAUGCCUGUAAUCCCAGCUAGUCGGGAUGCUGAGGCAGUAGAAUCACUUGAACCCGGGAGGCAGAAGCUGGAGUGAGCCGAGAUUGCGCCACUGCACUCCAGCCUGGCAACAAGAGCAAAACUCCUUCUCAAAAAAAAAAAAAAAAAAAAAUUGUGUAUGUGUAUAUAUAUAUAUAGAUAGAUAUAGAUAUAUAUGUAUAGUCUCAGUUAUACCUCUUCAAUAAAGUAAUUAUUCUAUUCCCAAUUUAUAGAUGAAGAAAGAGGUUUGGGGUGAUAAACUGGCAUAUGGUAAUAUGGCCAUGAUAUGCUCAAGUCAUUGGGGUCAGAGAUUCACAGUAAGAUUUUGGAAAUUCAAAUCUUAUUACGAAGUGAUUCACAUAUGUGUAUCAUAAUGAACCCUAAAGGAUAGCUGGGUGUAUAGGCAUGUCAAGAUCUAUAGAGACAUGCAGGAUGUUUCAAGUACUGUCUUAAAAUUUGACCAAAUCUUUGGUUAAAUAAUAAUACUGUUAUUCAAAUAUCAGCUUUUUACCACUUAGAGCAAAUUACAAUCAGGUAACAUUCAAAAUUCUAACCCUCCCUUCCCAACAUGGGAAUAUCUAUUAAGUAGCAAAUGAGAGAACCCCCUAAUCCCACAUUUCAGAGAUAAUACUGGUUGAAUAUCUCUUAUCUGAAGUGCUUGGGACCAGAAGUGUUUUGGAUUUGGGUUUUUCUCAGAUUUUGAAAUAUUUGCAUUGUACCAGUUGAGUACCCCAAAAUCAAAAUUGGAAAUCUGAAAUAAUCCAAUGUCUGUUUCCUUUGAGUGUCAUGUUGGUGCGCGAAAAGUUUUGGAUUUUGGAACAUUUCAGAUCUUGGAUUUUUGAAUUUGGGAUGGUCAACCUGUAGUUUGGUUUUUAUCUUUUUAGACUCCAUUUCUCUUGAUCUAUAAAUCCUAUCAGCCCUGUUUAUUAACAUAGACCCUAGUCAGAAAUGCUUUGAAAUAGAUCUACAUCUACUUCAACGUCAGUUGGUUCCAGACCCUUCUAGAACUUGUUUGGGGUCCUGGACUCCCGUCUGUCCUGUUAGGGAAGCUUUGCUGUCCUAGUUUUCAGUACUCUGUUCAGAGGGAAGGGCGUCAUUUACCUUUCCAGUGUGCUGUGCUCUCAGGAGCGUUAAAAUACAUGUUUUACUGCCAUUUGUACUGUUUCUUGACUCAAUUUUUCAUAUUUCUGUUCUUCUUUCCUUUUAGAGGAGAGGCGGAACAGCUGGUUUCCCUGCUCUCUCAGAAGCUGCUUGAUUUGUUUCUAGAUGAUGCCACUAGCAGGCACUCAUUAGAUCUUUCACAGCUGGGCUGGUUCCCACUAGCAACAGAUUUUUCUUUUAAAAACUGUCAAGGUCAGAGCAGCUUAUCCUUUGGAUAAAAGUGGAUUUUGGAGGCAAAAAAAAAAAAAAAAAAAAAA